UUGAGACUCAUUCCUUUCCAAACUAUGAUGAGUGGAGCAACUCUGCCUGGACUGAACUCUGCUCUGCAGGUGUGAGAUUCUUAGGUCUUUGAGAAAUUAGCUGGUGUCAUCAAGGAGCUCUGCUUUUUGACAUGAGGAAAAGGCACAGUUUGUUUCCUGAGCUGUCCCUGGGGCUUAAUUUGUGUUGGGGAAAACCAUCAGGGCAUUAAAGGUAAGAGUUU